rnacentral:rRNA from 1 species
GCAGCCGCGGUAAUUCCAGCUCCAAUAGCGUAUAUUAAAGUUGUUGCAGUUAAAAAGCUCGUAGUUGAAUUUCGGGAUCAAUGGGUUGGUCAUGCCCUCGGUAUGUACUGAUUUCAUUGGUUCUCACCUUCUAAGGAACCAUGAUGUCAUUCGUUUGAUGUUGUGGGGAAUUAGGACUGUUACCUUGAAAAAAUUAGAGUGUUUAAAGCAGGCUAACGCUUGAAUACAUUAGCAUGGAAUAAUGAAAUAGGACAUCCGAUUCUAUUUUGUUGGUUUCUAGGAUCGAUGUAAUGAUUAAUAGGGAUAGUUGGGGGCAUUAGUAUUCAAUUGUCAGAGGUGAAAUUCUUGGAUUUAUUGAAGACUAACUACUGCGAAAGCAUUUGCCAAGGAUGUUUUCAUUAAUCAAGAACGAAAGUUAGGGGAUCGAAGACGAUCAGAUACCGUCGUAGUCUUAACCAUAAACUAUGCCGACUAGGGAUCGGAUGAUGCUUAUUUUUUAAUGACUCAUUCGGCACCUUACGGG